CUACUAAAUAAUUUGAUUCUUAAAAAUUUGAAAAAUGAUAUUUUGUCUUCGUACAAAUCUUAAAAAAAUAAAAAUAAAAAUAAAAUAAAAUAUCUCGGCCCCCUCAAAAUUAUGAAAGGCCUCCAAAAUCUCAAAAUUUUAAAGUAGCUUAAGCUAUAAAUAUAGGCAAAAUUCUGUUUAUAUGUAAGUAAGGAGCACAUGGGCAGGACUCCAAAAUCUGUUUAUAUGCUUCUGAUAUUCAUUAUCUUCAUCUUCAUUACAAGUGUGGCAAUAGAAGAAGAGAUUUCCCAUAAAUAUUGCUGGCGUUUGAGCACAACAUGGUAUAAAAGAUGUCGAUUGACACUACACUGUGAUACAAAAUGCAAAGAAUUGGAGCAAGCCGAUCACGGAGCAUGCGGGCGGUCUUCUUUGUAGUCCUUUAAACGUAAAUGUUACUGCGGCUUCAAGUGUUGAAAUAUGAGAUAUGAUACGUUUAUAAUCUUUGUACAAUUCCCGUCCAACCUUUUUUCAAAGUAGCCAUUGAAUAUGUUUUCCUAUAUGUGAGUCAUAUAUAUGUCUAAUGGUUGAUUUUUUUUUAAAAAAAAAAUGUUGAAAAAAAAAAUUAUUGAAAUUGGAUUGGAAUUGUACAAAAGUUGUAAAUGUAUCGUAUCUUAUUGAUUAUAGGCAAUUUGAAACAGGGGAGAAUGGGUUGUUUUUGGAGGUGCUAUGUGAAUUUUUCACAUGCAAGAUCGGUGCCCCCGAACCACCCACCCAAACCACCCGGCACCACCACCCUGGAACACGUCGGCAUCGCCACCUCCAAGACAGUCACCGCCAAGCGUCCAUUUUCGAAGGCCAUGGACGGGCGGCUACUGAGCUCGGGAAAGAUUCGGCAGGAACCCACGCACACCGGCGUGGGUUUGAGAGAUCCAGCCGGAAAUCCAGAUCCGUCCGGAAAACCAUGCCGUCCAGAGCCCAGAUCCAUCCAUGCGUCCCGAUCCAAACCCAGAUCCGACCAGAAAACCGCCUAGAUCCGGCCGAGCGUCCCUACCCAUCAUCCCUAUCCCGCCGGCCUUCCAAAUCCCGUCGUCCCGAGCUUCUUCGCAGGCCGGAAAGAGAGAGAGAGAGAGAGAGAGAGAGAGAGAGUUUUGUUUUUAAAAAAAGAAGAAAAAGUUGGUUUGACUGUUGCAAUCAAUGCUACCAGUCUGAAAAGCAGGUCGAGCAUGUCAUCAUUUCACGGUUUUCACCUCAAAAUUCAAACCAUAUUCAAGCAUCAUUCGGGUUUUAUUCGGGUUGGUUCCAGGUUCCGGGUUUUUGAAAAAAAACCCAAUUGGAAUGUUGAAAAACAUUCGAACCAAACACACCAUAAUUACUCUGUUUGGCAACA